GGGGCGGAUGUAGCCAAGUGGAUCAAGGCAGUGGAUUGUGAAUCCACCAUGCGCGAACG
rnacentral:tRNA from 1 species